rnacentral:rRNA from 1 species
UAAUACAGAGGGUGCGAGCGUUAAUCGGAAUUACUGGGCGUAAAGCGCACGUAGUCGGCUUGUCAAGUCGGGUGUGAAAUCCCCGGGCUCAACCUGGGAACUGCAUCCGAAACUGACUUGCUAGAGUAUGGGAGAGGGAAGCGGAAUUUCUGGUGUAGCAGUGAAAUGCGUAGAUAUCAGAAGGAACAUCAGUGGCGAAGGCGGCUUCCUGGACCAAUACUGACGAUCAGGUGCGAAAGCGUGGGGAGCAAACAGG